rfam:Ictidomys tridecemlineatus contig115447, whole genome shotgun sequence.
CGGGUUGUGGCUCAGCAGGAGAGCGCUUGCCUAGCAAGCAUGAGACACUGGGUUCGAUCCCUGGCACCGCAU